UUUGGGUUUAGAGUCUAGAGUUUGGGUAUAGGAUUUAGGGUAUAGGAUUUGGGUUUAGGGGUUAGGGUUUAGAUUUAUGGUUUAAAAUUUAGGUUUUAGGAUUUUGUUAGUGGUGUUAGCGUCAUUAAAAUUGGUGUUAUUAUUGUUUUCUACUAUUUUAAUUUUUUUUUAAAAUUAAUAUUUUAUUAUUAAUCUAGGUAACACUUUAAUUGUUGAUAAGAGGCGUGUGAAUUUAGAGCUUCACCCUAGGGGUGAACCUAAGUUUUGUUCUAUUUGAAACCCAUGAUCAGUUACAUAUAUACAAAUUAUUAAUGUAUUUAAUAAAGCAUGUGCUUCCUUUUCUAAUUUACUUAUUUCCUGAUACAUUUAAACAAUUUUCUUAUUUUAGAUAUUUUCUUAACUAAAAGGAAAAUACGUUAAUUAUAAAAUUUGUAAAUAUUAUUUUCCCCUUAUUUACAAUAUAUGAAUGUACGUAAAUACUUUAUCAAGAUUUUCAUUUAGGAUGUGGCGUAGGUAAUUUCCGUUUGAUGUUGUUUUAGCAAUGACCAUAAACAAGAGUCAAUAUCAAUUAUUGGAGAAAGUUGGUUCAUUUAUCUUAAAACUUAUUUUUUCUCACGGAAAAGUAUAUGUAGCGAUUCCAGAAUGAAAUCAAACCAUAUCUGAAAAUUAUUAAUACUGAUGAAAAAGGGAA
rnacentral:lncRNA from 1 species